rnacentral:rRNA from 1 species
GCUACAGAGGGUUGCCAAGCCGCAAGGUGGAGCCAAUCCCCUAAAAGCAUCCCCAGUUCGGAUUGGAGUCUGCAACUCGACUCCAUGAAGUUGGAAUUGCUAGUAAUCGCGGAUCAGCACGCCGCGGUGAAUACGUUCCCGGGCCUUGUACACACCGCCCGUCAAGCCAUGGAAGCUGGGGGUACCCAAAGACAGUGUCCUAACUGCAAAGAGGGAGCUGUUUAAGGUAAAACCAGUGACUGGGGCUAAGUCGUAACAAGGUAGCCGUACCGGAAGGUGCGGCUGGAUCACCUCCUUU